rnacentral:rRNA from 1 species
UACGUAGGGUGCAAGCGUUGUCCGGAAUUAUUGGGCGUAAAGAGCUCGUAGGUGGCCUUGUCGCGGUCGGCUGUGAAAACUCGGGGGCUCAACUCCGAGCUUGCAGUCGAUACGGGCAGGCUAGAGUUCGGCAGGGGAGACUGGAAUUCCUGGUGUAGCGGUGAAAUGCGCAGAUAUCAGGAGGAACACCGGUGGCGAAGGCGGCCUACUGGGGCCAGCACUGACGCUGGAGGCGCGAAAAGCUCGGGGGAGCGAAACGGGG